rnacentral:tRNA from 1 species
CGGCGGCGAUCAGCGCCGCAAGCGAUCGGGCGGCGCGCGCGCGCGUUCGGCCAGGCCGG